CACCUCUGCUCUGCUCUGCUCUCUCUCUCUCUCUCUCUCUCUCUCACCCUUUCAUUUCAUUUCAUAUACUAGCUAUUACUUUGAUUAAUUCCACCAGGAGUAGUCUCAACUCUAUAACCCUCCUGCUAUAUAAAGAUUACUUUUGUAAAAUCCCACUCCCCUCGAUCUCUUUGAUGAAGAUCACAGGUACCAUCCAUCAACAUCUCUCCCUCCAUUUCUCAACCCCGUGCAUGAAACCAUUGAUUAAUUGAGUAUCUUUGCCUCUGCAAAAGGAAACUGACCAUCUCCCACAACACCCACUUCUUAUUGUCCCCACAUCUCUCUCUCUCUCUCUCUCUCUCUCUCUCUCUCUCUCUCUCUCUCGGUAGCAAUGAUGUCGCCGGAUAACAUUCCGGCAAAGCCGGUUACGGAGGAUGACAACCAAGGCUCAGGCAGCAGAAAAACUGCGUCGGCAAGGCCACCAGAGCACGGCCUAAAGUGCCCACGAUGUGACUCGCCUAACACCAAAUUCUGCUACUACAACAACUACAGCCUCACGCAGCCAAGGCAUUUCUGUAAGACUUGUAGAAGGUACUGGACAAAAGGUGGGGCUUUGCGCAGCGUUCCCAUCGGCGGAGGCUGCCGGAAAAACAAGAAGGUGAAGUCAUCUUCGAGGCUCUCUGAAGACUCCAAAGACUCGAGCUCAUCUUCGGAGAUCGGAGGGUUGAAGUUCUUCCAUGGUCUAUCCCCAGCCAUGGAUUUUCAGCUUGGUGGGCUACCAUUCCCCAGGCUUCACCCUCCAACAACAGCUAUUUACAACCAGUUUUCUUCAUUUGGAGACGUUUCGGGUAAUUUUCCGGCUGCUUCUGGAACUGUAACCACUCCUUUUACCCUCGAACCCUCUGGAAACUCUAAUAAUUCUCUGAUGAGUUUUAAUUAUCCGCUGUCUUCUACAAAUGGUGGCGGUGGUGGUUUUAGUGCUGCUGCAGUCCAGAACACAAGCAGCUCCAUGAACGUUCACAGCGGUCUUGCAUCUUCUAUCGAGUCUCUGAGUACUAUCAACCAAGACCUGCACUGGAAGCUUCAGCAGCAGAGGCUGGCCAUGCUAUUUGGUGGAGAAAAUCAGAAAGACAAUAGCGUUUCCUCGGUUCCUCUUGAAAACCUUACGCAGAAACCUCAACCCAUUGUGUUCCAGAAUCUGGAGAUUCCCAAAUCAUCAGAGGCUUGCAGCGUUGGUAAUUCAAGAAAAGAAGGUACAAGUACCAGAGAUCAGAUAGCGACCGAGUGGUUUUUCGGGAACUCUUAUGGGCCGGUGACCCCUACUCCGGCCAACAGCGGAGGCAACGGUGGCCACGGUAACGAGAACAGUUGGAACGGAAUUCAAACAUGGGGUGACUUGCAACAAUAUAGUACUUUGCCCUAGAUGAUGAUCGAGCAUCAAGAGGUAGGCCUCAAAGGAUCGAUGUUGAAAAUAGGGAAAAUGUCGACAUACAAUCUAAACUAAACUCAUGAUUUAGGACCAUGUUGGUUAUGUCAGCAAAUAAAUACUAGCUUUCGAUGAAAGUGAAAGCAAUUGGGUACUGUUGGAUCUCUCUAACUAGUGAAUACAAUUACUUCUGUACGUAGUAGAAUUAAUUUGUU